rnacentral:miRNA from 2 species
UCUUCCCUAUUCCUCCCAUUCC